AACGCUGGCGGCGUGCUUAACACAUGCAAGUCGCACGAGAAACGCUUCAGCUUGCUGAAGUAAGUAAAGUGGCGCACGGGUGAGUAACGCGUGGGUAAUCUACCCUUGAAUUGGGGAUAACCCGCCGAAAGGCGGGCUAAUACCGAAUGACAUCUUGAAAACUUAUGUUUUCAGGAUCAAAGGUGGCCUCUACAUGUAAGCUAUUGUUUGGGGAUGAGCCCGCGUACCAUUAGCUUGUUGGUAGGGUAAUGGCCUACCAAGGCUACGAUGGUUAGCUGGUCUGAGAGGAUGAUCAGCCACACUGGAACUGACACACGGUCCAGACUCCUACGGGAGGCAGCAGUGAGGAAU
rnacentral:rRNA from 1 species